UACGUAGGGGGCAAGCGUUGUCCGGAAUUAUUGGGCGUAAAGAGCUCGUAGGCGGUCUGUCGCGUCGAUCGUGAAAACCUGCAGCUUAACUGUGGGCUUGCGGUCGAUACGGGCAUGACUGGAGUUCGGCAGGGGAGACUGGAAUUCUCGGUGUAGCGGUGAAAUGCGUAGAUAUCGAGAGGAACACCUGCGGCGAAGGCGGGUUGCUGGGCUGACACUGACGCUGAUGCGCGAAAGCUAGGGGAGCGAACGGG
rnacentral:rRNA from 1 species